UACGAAGGGUGCAAACGUUGCCCGGAAUUAUUGGGCGUAAAGCGCGCGCAGGCGGCCUUUUAAGUCUGAUGUGAAAGCCCACGGCUCAACCGUGGAAGGUCAUUGGAAACUGAAAGGCUUGAGUACAGAAGAGGAAAGCGGAAUUCCACGUGUAGCGGUGAAAUGCGUAGAGAUGUGGAGGAACACCAGUGGCGAAGGCGGCUUUCUGGUCUGUAACUGACGCUGAGGCGCGAAAGCGUGGGGAGCAAACAGG
rnacentral:rRNA from 1 species